rnacentral:rRNA from 2 species
AAAACUUUCAACAACGGAUCUCUUGGUUCCGGCAUCGAUGAAGAACGCAGCGAAAUGCGAUACGUAAUGUGAAUUGCAAAUUCAGUGAAUCAUCGAGUCUUUGAACGCACAUUGCGCCCCCUGGUAUUCCGGGGGGCAUGCCUGUCCGAGCGUCAUUGCUGCCCUCAAGCCCGGCUUGUGUGUUGGGCCCCGUCCCCCG